rnacentral:lncRNA from 1 species
CUGCCCUUCAUAACCAAACAGCCCCGCACCAAAACACACCCCCACUAAGCAGCAACACACACGCCACAGCAGCAGCCAAGGAAGAGCUCAGUCAGAUCCCUAUCGAUGGCGUCGCUCACCAUGAUGGCGUCCCUCUCCGCGGCGGCCGUGGCGGUCGACCGGCGCGUGUCGUCCGCCCCGCGCCGCGGGGGGCUCGUUGUGGCCAGGGCCGCCAAGGAG